rnacentral:tRNA from 1 species
UUAAUUGAAGCCAAAAUUAUAGGCAUUUUAAUGUUAAUAAAAUCAUUGAAUAUUAUUAUUCCAAUUAAA